rnacentral:rRNA from 1 species
UACGAAGGGGGCUAGCGUUGCUCGGAAUCACUGGGCGUAAAGGGUGCGUAGGCGGGUCUUUUAAGUCAGGGGUGAAAUCCUGGAGCUCAACUCCAGAACUGCCUUUGAUACUGAGGAUCUUGAGUUCGGGAGAGGUGAGUGGAACUGCGAGUGUAGAGGUGAAAUUCGUAGAUAUUCGCAAGAACACCAGUGGCGAAGGCGACUCACUGGCCCGAUACUGACGCUGAGGCACGAGAGCGUGGGGAGCAAACAG